rnacentral:rRNA from 1 species
GAUGAACGCUAGCGACAGGACUUAACACAUGCAAGUCGAGGGGCAGCAAGUAAAAGUAGCAAUUACGUUUGGUCGGCGACCGGCGCACGGGUGAGUAACGCGUAUGCCAACCUACCUAUCGAGGAGGGGAUAACCCGGCGAAAGUCGGACUAAUACCGCAUAAAACAGGGGCACCGCAUGGUGAUAUUUGUUAAAAAUUUAUUGCUGAUAGAUGGGCAUGCGUUCCAUUAGGUAGUUGGAGAGGUAACGGCUCACCAAGCCUACGAUGGAUAGGGGAACUGAGAGGUUGGUCCCCCACACUGGUACUGAGACACGGACCAGACUCCUACGGGAGGCAGCAGUGAGGAAUAUUGGUCAAUGGGCGAGAGCCUGAACCAGCCAAGUCGCGUGAAGGAAGAAGGAUCUAUGGUUCGUAAACUUCUUUUGCAGGGGAAUAAAGUGCAGGACGUGUCCUGUUUUGUAUGUACCCUGAGAAUAAGGAUCGGCUAACUCCGUG